CUGAGUUCGUUUGACCUUGAGGAUUCUUUUCGCAGCAGACUCCAGAGUAAUCUUGUGUGCAGACACAUCCUGUGAUGUUUGGCUUGUACGUUCCUCCGUUG